GGACUUUUCUUCCUAGACUUGCCAUCCCAUCGAACAACAAGAGCUAAGGAGAAAAAAUGAACACAACAAAUGACAUCACCCAGCAAGACACUGAAGAUGAUUCUCCCAGAUGCACUGUGUGGAAAUUGGUUCAAAGACUUUGUACCUCCACAUUAUGUAUAACAUGAUCUUCCUGGUGGGGUUCCCAGAAAGUUUCAAUCUCAUUUGUCAUUUGAAAGCUUUCAUUAAAAGACUGCUCUUUAUGUUA